rnacentral:rRNA from 1 species
UGACGCAGCGACGCCGCGUGAGUGAUGAAGGCCUUCGGGUCGUAAAGCUCUGUCGGAAGGGAAGAACGUUUGUCGUGAUAAUAUUGCGAUAGGCUGACGGUACCUUCAAAGGAAGCACCGGCUAACUCCGUGCCAGCAGCCGCGGUAAUAAUCACU